rnacentral:rRNA from 1 species
UUUUGGACAAUGGGGGAAACCCUGAUCCAGCCAUCUCGCGUGUAAGAUGAAGGCCUUAGGUUUGUAAAGUACUUUUGGCAGAGAAGAAAAGGUAUCCCCUAAUACGGGAUACUGCAGUCGGUAUCUGCAGAAUAAGCACCGGCGAACUCCGUGACAGCAGCCGCGGUAAUACGUAGGGUGCAAGCGUUAAUCGGAAUUAAUGGGCGUAAUGCGUGUUGAGGCUGUUCGGAAAAAAAGAUGUGAAAUCCCAGGGCUCAACCUUGGAACUUCAUUUUUAACUGCCGAGCUAGAGUAUGUCAGAGGGGGGUAGAAUUCCACGUGUAGCAGUGAAAUGCGUAGAUAUGUGGCGGAAUACCGAUGGCGAAGGCAGCCCCCUGGGAUAAUACUGACGCUCAGACACGAAAGCGUGGGGAGCAAACAGG